rnacentral:rRNA from 1 species
GAUGAACGCUGGCGGCGUGCUUAACACAUGCAAGUCGAACGGAAAGGCCGAAGCUUGCUUCGGUACUCGAGUGGCGAACGGGUGAGUAACACGUGGGUGAUCUGCCCUGUACUUCGGGAUAAGCUUGGGAAACUGGGUCUAAUACCGGAUAUGACGAUCUCUUGGAUGGGGUUGUGGAAAGCUUUUGCGGUAUGGGAUGAGCUCGCGGCCUAUCAGCUUGUUGGUGGGGUAAUGGCCUACCAAGGCGUCGACGGGUAGCCGGCCUGAGAGGGUGUACGGCCACAUUGGGACUGAGAUACGGCCCAGACUCCUACGGGAGGCAGCAGUGGGGAAUAUUGCACAAUGGGCGCAAGCCUGAUGCAGCGACGCCGCGUGGGGGAUGACGGCCUUCGGGUUGUAAACUCCUUUCGCAAUCGACGAAGCCUUUUGGUGACGGCAGGUUGAGAAGAAGCACCGGCUAACUACGUG